UACGAAGGGGGCUAGCGUUGCUCGGAAUCACUAGGCGUAAAGCGCACGUAGGCGGCUUUUUAAGUCAGGGGUGAAAUCCUGGAGCUCAACUCCAGAACUGCCUUUGAUACUGGGAAGCUUGAGUCCGGGAGAGGUGAGUGGAACUCCGAGUGUAGAGGUGAAAUUCGUAGAUAUUCGGAAGAACACCAGUGGCGAAGGCGGCUCACUGGCCCGUUACCGACGCUCAGGCGCGACAGCGUGGGGAGCAAACAGG
rnacentral:rRNA from 1 species